rnacentral:rRNA from 1 species
GACAGAGGGUGCAAACGUUGCUCGGAAUUACUGGGCGUAAAGCGCGUGUAGGUGGAUUGGUGUGUCAGAUGUGAAAGCCCUGGGCUCAACCCAGGAACUGCACCUGAAACUACCAGUCUUGAGUGGUGGAGAGGGAAGUGGAAUUCCUGGUGUAGAGGUGAAAUUCGUAGAUAUCAGGAGGAACACCAGUGGCGAAGGCGGCUUCCUGGACACCAACUGACGCUGAGACGCGAAAGCGUGGGGAGCGAACCGG